CUUUGUGUGUGUGUCUGUCUCUGGCAGGUGUGUGCCUGUCAGUAUGUCAGUGUCAGUCUCCGUGUCUCUGUCAGUCUCCGUGUCUCUGUCAGUGUGUGUGUGUUCGUAUCUGUCAGUGUCUCUGUCUCUCUCCGUGUCUGUCUCUCUGUGUGUGUGUCUGUCAGUAUGUGUGUGUGUGUGUGUCUGUCUGUCAGUGUGUGUGUCAGUCCGCGUGUCUGUUAGUGAAUGUUUAGGUCACCAGUCCUCUCUGAUCGCAUUGGGAAUUAUGUUUUUAUUCAUCUUUUACCCAGCGCCAUACCGGUCUCGCUGCAGCUGGCCCACCUCUGUAGCUCAGAUUAUCAAUUACCAAUCAGC